rnacentral:rRNA from 1 species
GACGAACGCUGGCGGCGUGCCUAAUACAUGCAAGUCGAACGGAGAGGCCGUGCCUUUGUGGGGUGCUCGAGUGGCGAACGGGUGAGUAACACGUGAGUAACCUGCCUUUGAGCGUGGGAUAACUUCAGGAAACUGGGGCUAAUACCGGAUAGGAGCACAUGUUGCAUGGCGUUGGCUGGAAAGGUGCGGUGGCUGGGGUUGGAGGUGCGGCUUAUUAGCAUGUGGGUGAGGUAGUGGUAUACCAAGGCCAAGACGGGUAGCCGGCCUGAGAGGGUGACCGGCCACAGUGGGACUGAGGUGCGAGCAAGACGCCUACGGGAGGCAGCAGUGGGAGAUAGUGCGCGAAGGGCGGAGGCCGGAUGCAGCGACGCCGCGUGCGGGAGGACGGCCGUCGGGGUGGAAACCGCUUGCGCGUGUGACGAAGAGUGUGUGACGGUAAUGGAUAAAGAAGCACCGGCUAACUACGUG